UCCCUGGUGGCCUAAUGGUUAAGGAUCCGGCAUUGUUACUGCUGUGGUACAGGUUCAAUCCCUGGCCCAGGAA
rnacentral:tRNA from 1 species